rnacentral:rRNA from 1 species
GUGUCAGCAGCCGCGGUAAUACGUAGGGAGCAAGCGUUGUCCGGAAUCAUUGGGCGUAAAGCGCGCGUAGGCGGCCCCGUAAGUCCGCUGUGAAAGUCAAAGGCUCAACCUUUGAAAGCCGGUGGAUACUGUGGGGCUAGAGUCCGGAAGAGGCGAGUGGAAUUCCUGGUGUAGCGGUGGAAUGCGCAGAUAUCAGGAGGAACACCAAUAGCGAAGGCAGCUCGCUGGGACGGUACUGACGCUAAGGCGCGAAAGCGUGGGGAGCGAACAGGAUUAGAUACCCUCGUAGUCC